rnacentral:rRNA from 1 species
GACGAACGCUGGCGGCGUGCCUAAUACAUGCAAGUAGAACGCACAGUUUAUACCGUAGCUUGCUACACCAUAGACUGUGAGUUGCGAACGGGUGAGUAACGCGUAGGUAACCUGCCUGGUAGCGGGGGAUAACUAUUGGAAACGAUAGCUAAUACCGCAUAAUAUUAAUUAUUGCAUGAUAAUUAAUUGAAGGGUGCAAUUGCACCACUACCAGAUGGACCUGCGUUGUAUUAGCUAGUAGGUGAGGUAACGGCUCACCUAGGCGACGAUACAUAGCCGACCUGGGAGGGUGGUCCGCCACCCUGGGACCGGAGCCACGCCCAAACUUCUUCGGGAGGCAGCCGGAGGGAAAUCUUGGGCAAUGACGGAAGGUCGACCGGGGCACGCCGGGGGAGGGGAGGAGGGUUUCGGAUCGUAAAGCUCUGUUGUAAGAGAAGAACGGGUGUGAGAGUGGAAAGUUCACACUGUGACGGUAUCUUACCAGAAAGGGACGGCUAACUACGUG